rnacentral:rRNA from 1 species
GGUGUAUGGCCGUUCUUAGUUGGUGGAGUGAUUUGUCUGGCUAAUUCCGUUAACGAACGAGACCUUAACCUACUAACUGGCCGCCUGAGUGGCAACGCUCAGGAUCAAGGCCUCUUAGGGGGACGAUCUGUGACUAACAGAUGGAAGCAUAAGGCAAUAACAGGUCUGUGAUGCCCUUAGAUGUUCUGGGCCGCACGCGCGCUACAAUGAUGCAGGCAACGAGUGCUGCUCCUUGGCCGAAAGGCUUGGGGAACCUUGAAAACUGCAUCGUGCUAGGGAUAGAUGAUUGCAAUCGUGCAUCUUGAACGAGGAAUGCCUUGUAAGCGUGAGUCAUCAACUCGCGCUGAAUACGUCCCUGCUCUUUGUACAACACCGCCCGUCGCUCCUACCGAUUGGAUGGUCCGGUGAACUGGUUCGGACUGAUAAUUGUCACUGCGGGUGCCGUAGCCUUACGGAAAGUUCCGGUGAACCCUUUCAUCUGAGGAAGGAGAAGUCGACUU